GUUUGAUCCUGGCUCAGAUUGAACGCUGGCGGCAGGCCUAACACAUGCAAGUCGAGCGGUAGCACAGAGAGCUUGCUCUCGGGUGACGAGCGGCGGACGGGUGAGUAAUGUCUGGGAAACUGCCUGAUGGAGGGGGAUAACUACUGGAAACGGUAGCUAAUACCGCAUAACGUCGCAAGACCAAAGUGGGGGACCUUCGGGCCUCAUGCCAUCAGAUGUGCCCAGAUGGGAUUAGCUGGUAGGUGGGGUAACGGCUCACCUAGGGGACGAUCCCUAGCUGGUCUGAGAGGAUGACCAGCCACACUGGAACUGAGACACGGUCCAGACUCCUACGGGAGGCAGCAGUGGGGAAUAUUGCACAAUGGGCGCAAGCCUGAUGCAGCCAUGCCGCGUGUGUGAAGAAGGCCUUCGGGUUGUAAAGCACUUUCAGCGGGGAGGAAGGCGGUGAGGUUAAUAACCUCAUCGAUUGACGUUACCCGCAGAAGAAGCACCGGCUAACUCCGUGCCAGCAGCCGCGGUAAUACGGAGGGUGCAAGCGUUAAUCGGAAUUACUGGGCGUAAACGCACGCAGGCGGUCUGUCAAGUCGGAUGUGAAAUCCCCGGGCUCAACCUGGGAACUGCAUUCAAAACUGGCACGCUAGAGUCUUGUAGAGGGGGGUAGAAUUCCAAGUGUAGCGGUGAAAUGCGUAGAGAUCUGGAGGAAUACCGGUGGCGAAGGCGGCCCCCUGGACAAAGACUGACGCUCAGGUGCGAAAGCGUGGGGAGCAAACAGGAUUAGAUACCCUGGUAGUCCACGCUGUAAACGAUGUCGAUUUGGAGGUUGUGCCCUUGAGGCGUGGCUUCCGGAGCUAACGCGUUAAAUCGACCGCCUGGGGAGUACGGCCGCAAGGUUAAAACUCAAAUGAAUUGACGGGGGCCCGCACAAGCGGUGGAGCAUGUGGUUUAAUUCGAUGCAACGCGAAGAACCUUACCUGGUCUUGACAUCCACAGAACUUAGCAGAGAUGCUUUGGUGCCUUCGGGAACUGUGAGACAGGUGCUGCAUGGCUGUCGUCAGCUCGUGUUGUGAAAUGUUGGGUUAAGUCCCGCAACGAGCGCAACCCUUAUCCUUUGUUGCCAGCGGUUCGGCCGGGAACUCAAAGGAGACUGCCAGUGAUAAACUGGAGGAAGGUGGGGAUGACGUCAAGUCAUCAUGGCCCUUACGACCAGGGCUACACACGUGCUACAAUGGCAUAUACAAAGAGAAGCGACCUCGCGAGAGCAAGCGGACCUCAUAAAGUAUGUCGUAGUCCGGAUUGGAGUCUGCAACUCGACUCCAUGAAGUCGGAAUCGCUAGUAAUCGUAGAUCAGAAUGCUACGGUGAAUACGUUCCCGGGCCUUGUACACACCGCCCGUCACACCAUGGGAGUGGGUUGCAAAAGAAGUAGGUAGCUUAACCUUCGGGAGGGCGCUUACCACUUUGUGAUUCAUGACUGGGGUGAAGUCGUAACAAGGUAGCC
rnacentral:rRNA from 1 species